rnacentral:rRNA from 1 species
UACGUAGGGCGCAAGCGUUGUCCGGAAUUACUGGGCGUAAAGGGCUCGUAGGCGGCCAACUAAGUCGGACGUGAAAUCCCUCGGCUUAACCGGGGAACUGCGUCCGAUACUGGAUGGCUUGAGGUUGGGAGAGGGAUGCGGAAUUCCAGGUGUAGCGGUGAAAUGCGUAGAUAUCUGGAGGAACACCGGUGGCGAAGGCGGCAUCCUGGACCAAUUCUGACGCUGAGUGAGCGAAAGCCAGGGGAGCAAACGGG